rnacentral:rRNA from 1 species
AUUGAACGCUGGCGGAAUGCUUUACACAUGCAAGUCGAACGGCAGCACGGGGGCAACCCUGGUGGCGAGUGGCGAACGGGUGAGUAAUACAUCGGAACGUGCCCAGUCGUGGGGGAUAACGUAGCGAAAGUUACGCUAAUACCGCAUACGAUCUACGGAUGAAAGCGGGGGACCGUAAGGCCUCGCGCGAUUGGAGCGGCCGAUGUCAGAUUAGGUAGUUGGUGAGGUAAAGGCUCACCAAGCCGACGAUCUGUAGCUGGUCUGAGAGGACGACCAGCCCCACUGGGACUGAGACACUGCCCAGACUCCUACGGGAGGCAGCAGUGGGGAAUUUUGGACAAUGGGCGCAAGCCUGAUCCAGCCAUUCCGCGUGCAGGACGAAGGCCUUCGGGUUGUAAACUGCUUUUGUACGGAACGAAAAGGCUCUGGUUAAUACCUGGGGCUCAUGACGGUACCGUAAGAAUAAGCACCGGCUAACUACGUGCCAGCCGCCGCGGUAA